UACGUAGGGUGCGAGCGUUAAUCGGAAUUACUGGGCGUAAAGCGUGCGCAGGCGGUGAUGUAAGACCGAUGUGAAAUCCCCGGGCUUAACCUGGGAACUGCAUUGGUGACUGCAUUGCUGGAGUAUGGCAGAGGGGGGUGGAAUUCCACGUGUAGCAGUGAAAUGCGUAGAGAUGUGGAGGAACACCGAUGGCGAAGGCAGCCCCCUGGGCCAAUACUGACGCCUCAUGCACGAAAGCGUGGGGGAGCAAACAGG
rnacentral:rRNA from 1 species